UACAGAGGUCCCAAGCGUUGUUCGGAUUCAUUGGGCGUAAAGGGUGCGUAGGCGGCGCGGUAAGUCGGGUGUGAAAUCUCGGAGCUUAACUCCGAAACUGCAUUCGAUACUGCCGUGCUUGAGGACUGGAGAGGAGACUGGAAUUUACGGUGUAGCGGUGAAAUGCGUAGAUAUCGUAAGGAAGACCAGUGGCGAAGGCGGGUCUCUGGACAGUUCCUGACGCUGAGGCACGAAGGCCAGGGGAGCAAACCGG
rnacentral:rRNA from 1 species